rnacentral:tRNA from 1 species
GUCCUCGUAGCUCAGUUGGAUAGAGCAUUCGCCUCCUAAGUGAAAGGUCGCAGGUUCGACUCCUGCCGGGGACGCCA